rnacentral:rRNA from 1 species
GAGCGGCGAACGGGUGAGUAACACGUGAGUAACCUGCCCCAGACUUUGGGAUAACCCUCGGAAACGGGGGCUAAUACCGAAUAUGACUUCUGNNCGCAUGACCGGGGGUGGAAAGUUUUUCGGUUUGGGAUGGACUCGCGGCCUAUCAGCUUGUUGGUGGGGUAAUGGCCUACCAAGGCGACGACGGGUAGCCGGCCUGAGAGGGCGACCGGCCACACUGGGACUGAGACACGGCCCAGACUCCUACGGGAGGCAGCAGUGGGGAAUAUUGCACAAUGGGCGGAAGCCUGAUGCAGCGACGCCGCGUGAGGGAUGACGGCCUUCGGGUUGUAAACCUCUUUCAGCAGGGACGAAGGGUGACUGACGGUACCUGCAGAAGAAGCGCCGGCCAACUACGUGCCAGCAGCCGCGGUAAGACGUAGGGCGCGAGCGUUGUCCGGAUUUAUUGGGCGUAAAGAGCUCGUAGGCGGCUUGUCGCGUCGACUGUGAAAACUUGGGGCUCAACUCCAAGCUUGCAGUCGAUACGGGCAGGCUAGAGUUCGGUAGGGGAGACUGGAAUUCCU